AAUGAACGCUGGCGGCGUGCUUAACACAUGCAAGUCGAACGAGAACGGUCCUAGCUUGCUAGGAUGUCAGCUAAGUGGCGCACGGGUGAGUAAUAUAUAGGUAAUCUGCCCCGAAGAGCGGGAUAACGUCUGGAAACGGACGCUAAUACUGCAUACUCCUUCUUGACAUAAGUUGAGAAGGGAAAUGAACUUCGCUUCGGGAUGAGCCUUUAUCGCAUCAGCUAGUUGGUAAGGUAACGGCUUACCAAGGCUAUGACGCGUAGCUGAUCUGAGAGGAUGAUCAGCCACACUGGUACUGAGACACGGACCAG
rnacentral:rRNA from 1 species